rnacentral:lncRNA from 1 species
CUGAAUCUAACCAUAUCAAGUUUUUUUAAUUACAAAUAUGUUAGUAAUAACAUGUCAGGCUAAAUUAUUAGACCUAGAGUAAUAAGUUUGAAUGUACUGUAUGUGCGCCGGGUAAACUGGACGGACACGAGGAAUGUCUAUGUUAAGAUAGUAGUAUUAGUACAUAGGAGUAUGUGUCUGUGUGGCUGGUAAUCGCGUCUUGCAGUGUUUUUCUUGUCCCCAUGACCAUGAUAAUGGCGGACAGUACAGUCGCUGAUAGAAGAGCGCGCUACUAAGGCCCUGUUUAGUUCCUCGCCUAAAAAUUUUUCAUCCAUCCCAUCGAAUCUUUGGACACAUACAUAGAACAUUAAAUGUAGAUAAAAAAAUAAACUAAUUACACAGUUUAGUUGAGAAUCGCGAGACGAAUCUUUUAAGCCUAGUUACUCCAUGAUUAACCUUAAGUGCUACAGUAACCCACAUAUGCUAAUGACAGAUUAAUUAUGCUUAAUAAAUUUGUCUUGCAGUUUCCUGACGAGCUAUGUAAUUUGUUUUUUUAUUAGUUUCUAAAACCUCCUCCCGACAUCCUUCCGACACAUCAGAAAAUUUUCUAACCCCAAUCUAAACAGGCCCUAACACCGGGAAAGAGGAUGGGGUGCAGACAAAGGCACCGGAAAAACACCAGUGUGGUGUGUGCAACGGAGUUCGUGCCGUUCCACGGCACUCUGCACAACGCACCUACCACUCUGCACAACGCCCAUUUUGUCGUGUUCUGAGGCUCGAGUGGAAUCAUCAUUUGUUUUACGCUUUCACUGCUUGGCUUGCCUUAUUCUAUGGCCUUGUUUAGUUCAUCCCGAAAUCUAAAACGUUUUUAAGAUUUUCUGUCAAAUCGAAUUUUU